GACAGAGGUCCUGAGCGUUAGGCGGAAUCACUGGGCUUAAAGCGUGUGUAGGCGGCGGCCUAAGUACCUUGUGAAAUCCCACGGCUCACCCGUGGAACUGCUCGGUAUACUGGGUCGCUUGAGCCACUUAGGGGCUACCGGAACAAAUGGUGGAGCGGUGAAAUGCGUAGAUAUCAGGAGGAACACCGGUGGCGAAGGCGGGUCUCUGGGCCGAUACUGACGCUGAGGAGCGAAAGCGUGGGGAGCGAUCCGG
rnacentral:rRNA from 1 species